UAAGUGGGACCCCAAUUCCUAAGCAAUUCAUAAUACACAAGCAAACAAGCAUAAAAUAUAUAAACACUUCAAAAAAAAUAAGGUAUAUCUCAACUUGCCUAAAAAGAAGAUCUGUAAAGCCAAACACAAUCCGAAGCAUCAACUGAAAGCUCUAAUACUUUGAAUCAUCUCCAAACAUGACCAAAAUAUUCAAAUAUGACAUCUAUA
rnacentral:lncRNA from 1 species